AAAACUCCUUUCGAUCGGGACGAUUAUGACGGUACCGGAAGAAGAAGCCCCGGCUAACUUCGUGCCAGCAGCCGCGGUAAUACGAGGGGGGCAAGCGUUGUUCGGAAUUAUUGGGCGUAAAGGGAGUGUAGGCGGUUUGGUAAGUCUCGUGUGAAAUCUUCAGGCUCAACCUGAAGUCUGCACGAGAAACUGCCGGGCUUGAGUAUGGGAGAGGUGAGUGGAAUUCCUGGUGUAGCGGUGAAAUGCGUAGAUAUCAGGAGGAACACCUGUGGCGAAAGCGGCUCACUGGACCAUAACUGACGCUGAGACUCGAAAGCUAGGGGAGCAAACAGGAUUAGAUACCCUGGUAGUCCUAGCCCUANACGAUGACUGCUU
rnacentral:rRNA from 1 species